CUUGAAACACGGACCAAGGAGUUUAUUGUGUACGCAAGUCAUUGGGUGAUACAAAACCCAAAGGCGUAAUGAAAGUAAAGAGUAGCAAGAUGGAGGUUGAUUUUUUCAAUCUAGAUUCUUGCUCUCAAGGGAAGAUGGAUAUCUUGUUUUAAAUUAUAUUUAUAUUAGGUAUAUUUAAAAUUUAGAUUCCCGCAUUCCCAGGGCGCUUGUUUCUCGCUUUGCGAGUCUAUGCGCACCUAGAGCGUACACGAUGAUACCCGAAAGAUGGUGAACUAUGCCUGGCCAGGACGAAGCCAGGGGAAACCCUGGUGGAGGUCCGCAGCGAUUCUGACGUGCAAAUCGAUCGUCAGAGCUGGGUAUAGGGGCGAAAGACCAAUCGAACCAUCUAGUAGCUGGUUCCCUCUGAAGUUUCCCUCAGGAUA
rnacentral:rRNA from 1 species